CUUGAGAGCACCUGGUGCCUGAGGCCCAGCGUACCCUCUCCUCUGAAGUACCCCAGACUUCAACAAGUCCCCAACCACAAGGAGCAUUGGAAUUACAGCCAUGCGCUGCCACGAUCCCUCAACUGCUGGAAUUACAUGCACCACCGUACCCAUAUUUAUGUGGUUUCUGAGUGCUGAACCCAGGGCAUGCUGGGAAGGUAGCUGACCACAUCUCCAUCACCGGCAUUUUCAUAAGCAGUAGAUCAUCUCUUUCUCCAGGCAAGUCUUUGCUGCUCACCUCUUCAAGGACCUCUUCUUCCAAGAAGCCUUCCUUGGCUACCCCAAGCUACAUGGCACCUCUGGCCUCCUGCAACAAGGGUCGUUCCACAUGUCCAUUGCUUGUCUACAGCCAUCACAUUGACACUAUGUGAGGGUACCCUUUGUGAAGCCAGCAAAAGGCUAAAGUCUCAAAGCUGCGACAGAGAACAUGGGCACACAGUGGGGGCUCUGAAAAUGUGAUUUUCUGUUUUUUUAAAUAUAGCUGUGACCGCAGCCUGGGCCACCUCCCUCAGACUGUGCAGGCCACUUCCCUCAGACUAUGCAGGUUUCUUUGUAUACCAGUAUGCCUGCUUGAGUUGUGUCAAUACAAGCAUUUGCACACAUGGAUGUGGUUUUGGCAUCUGCAAGAAGGGAUAUAGGUAUGAUUACACACCACCAUUUACUGCCACGUCUAUGCAGAGGCUCAUGGGCAUGGGUGUGUCCCUAUAACGUGCCCUGACACUGGGGCAUGCCUCCGUGUGCCCAGAGCAAGGCUGUGGCAGGGAAAGUGUAGCAGCUGCUAGAUCCAGGUUCUGCCAUUUCUCAUUUGGGAACUAAAAAUAACCCAGCGCCCAGCCCUAUCCCAGGAGUCAGGAACCAGCCCGCAAGCCUCACAGGACACCCCAGGCUGGCUGUUGCUUUUGUCCCUUCUUAGGCUACCAUACUCCCUAGCCUUCCCUGCCUUGGGCUCCCAUGACCUCAUUGCAGGCCUUGCUCAACCAGGGCCACAGGAGGAGGAAGGGCCAAGGCCACGCCCAUGUCCAGGCAGCUGGAUACAAGCAAGGCCUGAUAAGGUCAAGCAGGGAUUGGGGUACACCCCCGCCUCCAACCAGGGCCAGGCAGGCAGACAUGAGUCAGCACAGGGGGCCAUCAGCAGCCCAGGCCUGGCCACAAGCAGGUGACAGAGGGCUCAGAGGAGAGUUCUUUCCCAGGAGGCCAGAGAUGGGUGUGGAGGACUCACCUGGUCUCUGGCCUCACUUUCCCACUCCUCAGCCUCACUUCCACCCCAGAAGCCCCUUGGAGAGUCCCUCCUCCCCUGCUGGCUUCCUGUCAGCUCUGGCCAUACCCUUGUCCUUGAAAAAGUUGUCGGCCUCUUGCAAAAGAGCUUCUGACUUAGCUUAGGAAGUGCCCGUCCCUGAGUGCCAUCCCUGCCCUCCCUAGGCAGGUGGUCAGCAUUGCCUUCUGGUCCGGAAACAUCUCAGAGUCCCCCCUUCUCUGGGAAGUCAAGUCCUUUUCACACACAUCCAGACCUGAGCUUUGUAAGGCCCUGAAGCGUCUUUUGAAAUUCUACCCACACGAUGGACCCUCACAGGGUCCAGUCACAGGCCAGGAGGGGUCAUUGUUGUCUUCCUUUACAAGGAACAAAGCCACAGCCCUGUAGGACACAUGCUGGCUGGAGACUCGCCAGGCUUCAUCUGAGACCAAGCACGCUCCAACAUCCACUGUGGCUGUUCUGAUCUUUCCUGCUACUGUCUUCAGUAUUGACAACCCAGGUCAAGGGCCCUGAACCUGGAAAGAUGUACAGCUAGGGCUGGGUCAGCCUGAGCUGCGUAGUGAGACUCUGUCUCAAAACAACAACAACAACAACAACAACAACAACAACCCAUGUACUGCUCUUGCAGAGAACCUGAAUUCAGUUUCCAGGACAUAAGUGAACUGCUCAAUUGCUCACAACUUGAGCUCCAGGGGAUCUGACGCCCCCUUCUGGCCUCUGAGGGUACCUGCACUUAUGUGCACAUACCCACUUCUGACCCCAUAUAUACAUAUAAUUAAAAAUUUGUUUUUGUUUUUGUUUUGUUUUUGUUUUUGUUUUUGUUUUUUUUGGUUUGCUUUGUUUUGAGGCAGGAUCUCACCAUGUAUCCCUGGUAUGUAGACCAGACUGGCCCUAAGAUUACAGAGAGCUGUCUGUCUCUGCUUCCCAGAUGCUGGAAUUUAAAGUUGAAAGUGUUUGGAGAUAAGAGGUGACGAAGGCAGAUAUCACCUAAGCCUCCCAGGAGGCAGAGAGCAGUCAUCCAGAGAGCCGUGACAAAUCCAGAGGGAGGAGUCC